AAAUGUCACUAAGAGUGCGUUUGGUUCAGGUUAUCCUGACAGGAUUACAAGCAAUUCUGUCAGGAUUGUUAUAUUUAGUUUAUCGGAUAUGUACUCUGUUCGGUAUUGUAGCAUUACAAAAAAUGUAUAAUAUAUUACACCAAAAAUAUUACCGAAGGGGUGUGUAUUUUGGAUUACUGAAGGCGGCUAAUAUUUUUGCCGCCGCCGCCGUCCGCUCCCACAGCAUGAAGAGGAAGAGGAAGAUGAAGAGGGCAAGGGCAAAAUAGUCGUUUCACAGUUCUACUGUUAAAAAAUUAACAGUUCUCUAACAGAUCCAAAUUACGUAUUUGAAUAUAUUAUGGUUUUUGCAGGAAUAACUUAUAAAAAUUGAAAUUUACAGAAAUAUACUUGCUAUUCACCAUAUUUGUAGGGACCUGUAUGAAAUUAAUCCUAAUUUAUUGUGAAAUUUGUGGAAAUUGGUGUGGAUUGACUUAGUAGGGGUGAGUCGGGUGACUGA
rnacentral:lncRNA from 1 species